UGGACCGAUGAUGAUGACUGGUGGCAUUUGAGUCAAAGGUGAUAAAUAAUGUGUGUCUUGAACUCUGAGGUCCAA
rnacentral:snoRNA from 1 species